GCCGAGGUAGCUCAGUGGUAGAGCAAUGCUUUCGUAAAGCAUGGGUCGGGAGUUCAAUCCUCCCCCUCGGCU
rnacentral:tRNA from 3 species